rnacentral:rRNA from 1 species
AUUGAACGCUGGCGGCAGGCCUAACACAUGCAAGUCGAGCGGAUGAAGGGAGCUUGCUCCUGGAUUCAGCGGCGGACGGGUGAGUAAUGCCUAGGAAUCUGCCUGGUAGUGGGGGAUAACGUCCGGAAACGGGCGCUAAUACCGCAUACGUCCUGAGGGAGAAAGUGGGGGAUCUUCGGACCUCACGCUAUCAGAUGAGCCUAGGUCGGAUUAGCUAGUUGGUGGGGUAAAGGCCUACCAAGGCGACGAUCCGUAACUGGUCUGAGAGGAUGAUCAGUCACACUGGAACUGAGACACGGUCCAGACUCCUACGGGAGGCAGCAGUGGGGAAUAUUGGACAAUGGGCGAAAGCCUGAUCCAGCCAUGCCGCGGGUGUGAAGAAGGUCUUCGGAUUGUAAAGCACUAUAAGUUGGGAGGAAGGGUAGUAAGUUAAUACCUUGCUGUUUUGACGUUACCAACAGAAUAAGCACCGGCUAACUUCGU